GUCUCUGCGACGCAAUUGGUUAGCGCGUUCGGCUGUUAAGCGAAAGGUUGGUGGUUCAAGCCCACCCAGGGACA
rnacentral:tRNA from 1 species